GAUGAACGCUGGCGGCGUGCCUAAUACAUGCAAGUCGAGCGAACGGACGAGAAGCUUGCUUCUCUGAUGUUAGCGGCGGACGGGUGAGUAACACGUGGAUAACCUACCUAUAAGACUGGGAUUACUUCGGGAAACCGGAGCUAAUACCGGAUGAUAUUUUGAACCGCAUGGUUCAAAAGUGAAAGACGGUCUUGCUGUCACUUAUAGAUGGAUCCGCGCUGCAUUAGCUAGUUGGUAAGGUAACGGCUUACCAAGGCAACGAUGCAUAGCCGACCUGAGAGGGUGAUCGGCCACACUGGAACUGAGACACGGUCCAGACUCCUACGGGAGGCAGCAGUAGGGAAUCUUCCGCAAUGGGCGAAAGCCUGACGGAGCAACGCCGCGUGAGUGAUGAAGGUCUUCGGAUCGUAAAACUCUGUUAUUAGGGAAGAACAUAUGUGUAAGUAACUGUGCACAUCUUGACGGUACCUAAUCAGAAAGCCACGGCUAACUACGUG
rnacentral:rRNA from 1 species